rnacentral:misc_RNA from 1 species
AAAACAAAUACCCCACACUUGUCAAAAGCUGUAAAAAAAUAUUUUCUAAAUAGUUAUUGACCAAUAACUAUUGAAAGGCGUAGAACUACAGUAAUCCACAUAUGAUGUAAGUGUGAAGAAAUCAACUUAAAAUAAUAUUGAUGGUCACAAAAACAUUUCAUUAUUAUCACCAUUAUUAUCAUCAUCAUUGACACUAUGCCAAUUAAAAUAUAAUGAGGAUUUAAUGGUUUCAUCAGUGCACUAUUUUCAUGUGCACCUUGUAAUCACACGUGGAAACUAAAAGCUAUUUGCAUGGAUAAUAUCACAUGUUUG